rnacentral:rRNA from 1 species
UGGGGAAUAUUGCACAAUGGGCGCAAGCCUGAUGCAGCCAUGCCGCGUGUGUGAAGAAGGCCUUCGGGUUGUAAAGCACUUUCAGCGGGGAGGAAGGCGGUGAGGUUAAUAACCUCAUCGAUUGACGUUACCCGCAGAAGAAGCACCGGCUAACUCCGUGCCAGCAGCCGCGGUAAUACGGAGGGUACAAGCGUUAAUCGGAAUUACUGGGCGUAAAGCGCACGCAGGCGGUCUGUCAAGUCGGAUGUGAAAUCCCCGGGCUCAACCUGGGAACUGCAUUCGAAACUGGCAGGCUAGAGUCUUGUAGAGGGGGGUAGAAUUCCAGGUGUAGCGGUGAAAUGCGUAGAGAUCUGGAGGAAUACCGGUGGCGAAGGCGGCCCCCUGGACAAAGACUGACGCUCAGGUGCGAAAGCGUGGGGAGCAAACAGG